GGUCUCCAAAAUAUUUUUAAGGCUCCUGGGCCUGCAUGAAAGUUACCUUCUUUACUCAACUAUAAGGCUAGGAACUCUGUGAGCAAGGUACCAGGCUGGGGGUUUUUUAAGGGGCCUUAUUCGCCCCACAAAGUCAUCCUUAGUUUCUUAAAACUGUGUAGUCAUAUCUGAUUCUAUGACAUUCUAAAAAUUACAUUCCAAAGCUUUGGUAAUGUAACCAAUGUUUUCCAUUGUGUCCUGUUACAAACAGAUAGAUUCUUAUUGGACCUAUACAAACAACUAUGGUCAUGAAUGUAAGAAUACUCACUCAUCAUUUUCAAAUUCUGGAGGGAUUAGGUAGGGAGAAAAUCAAAUGCUUUAUUUCUGUUUACAAAUGCAUAAUCUACCAGAUUGUGGUCAACUA
rnacentral:lncRNA from 10 species